GGGCAGGUGCUAGAGAUGGGGAUCCACGGGGAGGGUGACCUGGUGAGAGAUUUUACAGCUGCAGAAAAUGUCCUCUACCUUGAGAGAGGCGUGUGACACAGGAGUUGUUUAAGGAGAAUGGAUGGUUACACAUCCUACUUGGGAGACAAUCUCACUGAACCAGGGGGGAACACAGUGCAUGAUGGGCUGCCCUACUCACUUCACGGAAGAGGAAACUGAGGCUCGGGAAAUCGAGCUGGCAGACUUCCUCUGGAACUUCCUCUGGACAUCUGGAGGGACGUCUUGUCAGCAGAGCAGGCUGGACUGCUUCACAAAGAGGAUGCAGCCCUGCCUCCCAGCAGGAGUCAGUUCUGCUCUGAGACGUGAGGCUCACAAUCAAAUGAAGACUCCUACUGCUGCAUCUUGAAGAUAAUGAUGCUGUCACUCCAGGCCGGAACCACAGGAGUGGCAAUGAGUGAACAGCUAGCAGAGUGGAGCAGCCACACUGAUACAGGGGAGGCUGCAGCAGUGCUGCAGCCCAGGGCUGGGCAAAACUGCCUUCCUGUCCCCCAGGAGCUGAGGCCUCUGAGAUUGGUGCUGGGAGGUCACACAGUGCAGGCAAAUCACACAGACCUCGGAGCAGGAUCCCUGGCCAUGAGAACUCAAAAGACACAGUCUUUAAAAUGAAGACAGAAAACUGUACUUAUUGCCACAAUAAAGCUGUGUAACAAACUACC